AACACAUAUUCAACACACCCAGAGUCACAUCAAGUCCAUCGCAAACGUGUAUGAGAGUGCUGUACAAAAUUUGAUCAUACUUUCCCCGAAAAAGGAUUUCAACCGUCCAGAAAUUGGACAUCAUUUGGACUUGGCCUAAGUUCUUUAAAGCAAUCCCCACAAUACAGACCACAUAAAAUGUUCUCAAUAUUUGGCUCGAUCAUAGCGCUUGUAUUGGCCAGCACAAUAUGCGAGGCACUGCCAGAUCUGCACAAACAAAUGUCGCCAGAGCAACUGAAUUCAGUUUUCCAUGUGGACACACACGACGCCGUGCCGCAUUAUGAGCUCGUCCAGCUGCUGCACCACUCGUCGCACGGCGGUCUGCAGCGCAAGCGUCGCAGCCUCGACGAACGCAUCAAUGGGAGCAAUGCACCCAAGCCGCAUCAUGUGAAGAAGGAUCUGAGCAAGAAUGCCUACUACAGUGAGCUGAAGCAACAGGCGGCCACUGGCAGCAGCAAGAAUCAUCUGCUUGGCGACGACAUCAGCUCCAUUAAGGCGCACAAUGUCUCCUUCAGCGCCUUCGGCAAUCCCGUCAAUCUCACGCUGCGUGCCACGCAGGGCCUCUUUAAGGGGGCGCCGCACGAGCUGCGCAUGUGGUCGGUGGGCAGCGAGUCGAAUGCCACACAUGGCCUCGAUCUGCAGGAGAUCCUCGAUGAGAAGCAUCACAAGCAUGAGAUUGGUGAAGUCUUCCAAGAUGAGCAGAACAUGGCAGCGAUCUUAAUGCGCCGCCAUAUGGAAACUGGCGAUUUGAUAAUGGAGGGCAGCAUUGGUCACGAUCUGGUCAUUAAACCUUUGCCACACGAGCUGAGCCCCAACAAGGAGCAGGCCCAUCACAUUGUCUUCAAGCGUGCGGCCUCAGCCGCCGACGAUCAACUGAGUGACUUUGCUUUCAUGGAACCCGACGAUUUGCUGGCCAGCGAAAAACUUGAGCGUCUGCAGCGGCGUCAGCAUCGCAGUCGACGCAGCAGCGGCAGCAGUCCCGACUUCGAGGACCUCAACGAUGAGGACGAGGGCCAGCUGGACACCGAGGCGGAGCCGGCCGAACCCCAAACCUCAGAGUCACGCGUCCGCCCCAGACGCCAAGCCCCAUACGUCAUCUAUCCCGAGGUCUUGGUGAUUGUCGACUAUGAUGGAUAUCGGCUGCAUGGCGGUGACAACCUGCAGGUCAAGAGGUACUUCAUUUCGUUCUGGAACGGCGUCGAUUUGCGCUACCGCCUGCUGAAGGGACCCAGAAUACGCAUCAGCAUCGCUGGCAUCAUUAUCUCACGUGGUCGCGAUGCCACGCCCUAUUUGGAACGUAAUCGUGUGGGCCGCGAUGCCAUCGACUCGGCUGCCGCCCUGACAGACAUGGGCAAAUACCUGUUCCGGGAGCGACGUCUGCCUGUCUACGACAUCGCCGUGGCCAUCACCAAACUUGAUAUGUGCCGUCGUACCUCCGCAUUUGGUGAAUGUAAUCGCGGUACCGCAGGCUUUGCCUACGUUGGCGGCGCUUGCGUGGUUAACAAGCGGCUGGAGAAGGUGAACAGCGUCGCCAUCAUCGAGGACACCGGCGGCUUCAGCGGCAUCAUAGUGGCCGCCCACGAAGUGGGACAUUUAUUGGGCGCCGUGCACGAUGGCUCACCACCGCCCAGCUAUCUGGGAGGACCGGGCGCACAGCGUUGCCGCUGGGAGGAUGGCUACAUAAUGUCCGAUCUGCGUCACACGGAGCGCGGCUUCCGUUGGUCCGCCUGCACGGUGCAGAGCUUCCAUCACUUCCUCAAUGGGGACACCGCCACCUGCCUGCACAAUGCGCCGCACGAGGACAGCGCCCUGGGUAGAUCGCUGCCCGGCACCCUGCUCUCGCUGGAUGCGCAAUGCCGGCGAGAUCGUGGCACCUAUGCGUGCUUCAAGGAUGAGCGUGUCUGUGCGCAGCUCUUCUGCUUCGACGCCCAGACGGGCUACUGUGUUGCCUACAGGCCAGCAGCCGAGGGCUCAGCGUGUGGUAAUGGCUACCAUUGUCUGGAUGGUCGCUGCUCCCCACUGCCUUCUAAUAUAAUUCCCGACUAUGGAAACAAUUACCGUUUAGUAUACAAUAAAAUCAGCCAGAAGAAAAGCGAUGCGAACAGCCAAACGGGCGAAGACAUUGAAAAUAGUAGUGAAGAGAACGAAUCCCAAGAAGCUGAAGAUGAAGCCGAAGAGAAGCAGGAGCAGGAGCAGGAGUCGGACAACACUAGUAGUGAGGAGCAGCAGGAUAAUAACAUACAGCAGAGCUCUGCUGCGGCUGUUGCUGCUACGGCUGAUGCUGCUGCUGCUGCCGACAAUGCUGACACACCGACAACAACAACAGCACGAACCUCAAAAUCGACAACACCGACGACUGCAUCACGUUCCAAAUCAUUUGAGUUUUUGCGGCGACUGUUCAACGCUGACCGCACUGAUAAUUUGGCACUACACAACACUGAGUCGGAGUGGCUGCAAAAUGGUGGCGUUAUGGUUAAGACACACACCAGCAGCAGCAUCAGCAGCAGCAGCAGCAACAGCAACAGCAAUGGCGCACGCUACACAACAACAACAACACAAAAACCAACAACAACAACAACAACCACAACACAAACACCAAAUCUGUUUCAAAUUUAUACACAUGAACUACGAAAACAAAUUGAAUACUAUUUUCAUUUGAUACAAACACAACAACAGCAACCACAACAACAACAACAACAACAUCAGAAUACGCCACAUAAACAACAACAAGAACAAACUGUAGUUACGUCCAAUGAACAUUUCCCAAUACCCUUGGUACAAAAACAAAUUACAAAUUAUAGUGCCACCACCAACAGCAACAACAGCGGCGAGAGCAGCAACAAUGGCGCUAAAGAACAUAAUAGCAACAGCAACAGCAAUGGCAACAGCAACAGCAACAACAACAGCGUGGAAGGAAACAAGCGACAGCAGCAACAACAACAACAACAACAGCAGCAACAGCAUCAUCUAGUUGAUGAGGAAAACGAGGCCAAUGCCGGCAUUGAGAUCAAUGAAGCAAUUGAGCGGCAAAAACGUAAGUUUCACACACAGCAACCCAGACACUUGACAACACUGCAACAGCAACAACAAUUGGCAACAACAACAACAACAAGCACAACAACAGCCGCAAACCGAGCAGCCAAGGCGAUGCCAACAACAACUACAACAUCAGCAACAACAACUAAAACAAAAGCAACUUCAUCGAUAUUCGAUGCAUAUUUUAAAAAAUUUCAAGCAUUGCAUUUACCAACACUGGACGGAGCGGUUACAGCCACCACAACAUCGGUGUCCACCUCCGUUAGUUCAACAGCAACAAAAGCCAGCAGCACACAACAACAGCAACAGCAACAACAGCAACAACAAAAGCAACACCAACAACAGCAACAGCAAAACUUUGAUGGCAGUCAAUUCUUAAAACGUACGCUAAAUCGCAGUAGUAAUAUAACAAACAAAAAUAGUAGUAAUAAAGUUAGUCAUAACCAUAGUCAGCAACAACAACAACAACAACAACAGUUGACAUCGCCCUCAUAUGUAACAAAUUAUAUUGGCGACAAUACCAACAAUUUGCCAACGGUGUUGGACAAUCAGCCAAGCACAACAACAACAACAACAACAACAAUAGCCAUACAACAACUCGAACAACAGUCAGCAAAUGGCAACACAACAACAACAACAACAACAACGCUCAGAAAACCUAAAAUCAAAACACAAAAGCUGAUACGACGCACACGAGUCAUGUGAAAGACACAAAAAAAAACAAAAACAGAAACUAGAAAGAGCGUUGGCAACACUGCUGCUAUUUCUACUACUAUUUCUGCUACUACUAAAUAUACGUAAACACAACAUUUCAAUUCGAUCAACAACACUGCCAGCGCUACCCAGUUUGUAACUGUAAUUCUCAAAGUACGCGCACACACAAACACACAGUUACACACACACACACACACAUAGAACAGAUUUACAGUUACACGCACACAAGCCUAAAUUGUCCUCUCAACGUUCCGAUUCGAUUUGUUACUUUGCUACUUCGUGCGUGGUUAACUGGAAGCUGUUUCCGUUUUAGAGCACUGCCAAUCGGAAAGCGGAUGAAACGUUUGGAUUUGGCCUGGUUAUUGCCAUUGAGAAAGUUUUAACA